rnacentral:rRNA from 1 species
GCGGAGGAAAAGAAACCAACAGGGAUUGCCUUAGUAGCGGCGAGUGAAGCGGCAAAAGCUCAAAUUUGAAAUCUGGUACUUUCAGUAUCCGAGUUGUAAUUUGUAGAAGCAACUUUGGUGAUGGUCUUUGCAUAAGUUCCUUGGAAUAGGACGUCAUAGAGGGUGAGAAUCCCGUUUAUGGUGAAGAACCCACACUAUGUAAAGUGCUUUCGAAGAGUCGAGUUGUUUGGGAAUGCAGCUCAAAGUGGGUGGUAAAUUCCAUCUAAAGCUAAAUAUUGGCGAGAGACCGAUAGCGAACAAGUACUGUGAAGGAAAGAUGAAAAGAACUUUGAAAAGAGAGUGAAAAAGUACGUGAAAUUGUUGAAAGGGAAGGGAUCUAAAUCAGACAUGGUAUUUUGUGAUCAACAGUCUUUCGGGACUGUGCACUCGCAUUUUACUAGGCCAGCAUCGGUUAGAAGGGGGUAAAAAAGAUUUUGGAAUGUGGCUCCUCGGAGUGUUAUAGCCAAGGUUAAUUGCCCCAUUUCUGACCGAGGACCGCGUCUUUUGACUAGGAUGCUGGCGUAAGGUUU